AUUGAACGCUGGCGGCAGGCCUAACACAUGCAAGUCGAACGAGUGGCGGACGGGUGAGUAAUGUCUGGGAAACUGCCCGAUGGAGGGGGAUAACUACUGGAAACGGUAGCUAAUACCGCAUACCAUCGGAUGUGCCCAGAUGGGAUUAGCUAGUAGGUGGGGUAACGGCUCACCUAGGCGACGAUCCCUAGCGGGUCUGUGAGGAUGACCAGCAAAUCGGGACUUGAGACACGGUCCAGACUCCUACGUGAGGGAGCAGGGGGGACUAUUGCACAAUGGGAGCAAGCCGGAGGCAGCCAUGCCGUGUGUAUGAAGAAGGCCUUCGGGUUGUAAAGUACUUUCAGCGAGGAGGCGUUACUCGCAGAAGAAGCACCGCCUAACUCCGUGCUAGCAGCCGCGGUAAAC
rnacentral:rRNA from 1 species